CUACUACCGAAGAGUCCCAAACUAGGACGAAACAGCUGUCCAGUAC
rnacentral:hammerhead_ribozyme from 1 species